AAAAAAAAAAAAAAAAAAUCAAUAGUGCAUGUACGCAACUAUCAAUUUGCAAACCAAACAGGAUUGGCAAUCUUCACCUCUUCCCUUUGUCCAUUCAAUGCCCACUACCAUCAGAACCAUACUAACCACAUGAAAACAAUUAUUAUAGCCACAAAGGCCCUACGGCUACAGUGUCAGGAAGGGACAAAAUUACACAAUACUCCCUGCUUGUAUACUCCUACAGAUGCAGAGACAAUAAGGGCAGUUAAGUAAGUUUAUCCCCUGCAUUUUUGCCGUGAAAUUAGGAACCUUCGUUGAUGUUAAUUUGUGGGGCUAGUUCGUUAGAUUUAGAAUAUUAUUACUAAACUUUCUAAGGACAGUUUUUCAAAACCUGCUCGAUUCUGCUCUCAUUUUGUCUGGACCCUGGAAAGAGAGCCAGGAAACCAACAGUAAUUACCAAUUACUUCGUUUCCAGGGAAAUGCUUCCAGGAGAAUAUUUUCCUGGGAAACAAACAGGUAAUCAUAGCAUCAAUGCAGUCUUUAAUAACAGACAAGUGAAAUGGAGAUCUUAAAGCAAAAGAAAGAGAAUCAGUUAUAACAAAAGACCAAACAGAGUACCAUGUAAACCUACUUUCUACCAAUGAUAUCUGCUAUUUCUGAUUUAACAAUAUAUAUAUAUAUAUA
rnacentral:misc_RNA from 1 species